UGGCUCAGGAUGAACGCUGGCGGCGUGCUUAACACAUGCAAGUCGAACGAGGUUAUUACAGCGGAAGUUUUCGGAUGGAAGCAGUUUUAACCGAGUGGCGGACGGGUGAGUAACGCGUGGGAAACCUGCCCUAUUCCGGGGGAUACCAGUUGGAAACGACUGUUAAUACCGCAUAAGCGCACAGUGCCGCAUGGUACAGUGUGAAAAACUCCGGUGGAAUAGGAUGGUCCCGCGUCUGAUUAGGCAGUUAGCGGGGUAACGGCCCACCAAACCGACGAUCAGUAGCCGACCUGAGAGGGUGACCGGCCACAUUGGGACUGAGACACGGCCCAAACUCCUACGGGAGGCAGCAGUGGGGAAUA
rnacentral:rRNA from 1 species